GAUGAACGCUGGCGGCGUGCCUAAUACAUGCAAGUCGAGCGAACGGACGAGAAGCUUGCUUCUCUGAUGUUAGCGGCGGACGGGUGAGUAACACGUGGAUAACCUACCUAUAAGACUGGGAUAACUUCGGGAAACCGGAGCUAAUACCGGAUAAUAUUUUGAACCGCAUGGUUCAAAAGUGAAAGACGGUCUUGCUGCCACUUAUAGAUGGAUCCGCGCUGCAUUAGCUAGUUGGUAAGGUAACGGCUUACCAAGGCAACGAUGCAUAGCCGACCUGAGAGGGUGAUCAGCCACACUGGAACUGAGACACGGUCCAGACUCCUACGGGAGGCAGCAGUAGGGAAUCUUCCGCAAUGGGCGAAAGCCUGACGGAGCAACGCCGCGUGAGUGAUGAAGGUCUUCGGAUCGUAAAACUCUGUUAUUAGGGAAGAACAGAUGUGUAAGUAACUGUGCACAUCUUGACGGUACCUAAUCAGAAAGCCACGGCUAACUACGUG
rnacentral:rRNA from 1 species